CCUACGGGAGGCAGCAGUGAGGAAUAUUGGACAAUGGGCGCAAGCCUGAUCCAGCCAUGCCGCGUGCAGGAAGAAGCAUCUAUGGUGUGUAAACUGCUUUUUGUACGGGAAGAAACACUGCUACGUGUAGCAGCUUGACGGUACCGUAAGAAUAAGGAUCGGCUAACUCCGUGCCAGCAGCCGCGGUAAUACGGAGGAUCCAAGCGUUAUCCGGAAUCAUUGGGUUUAAAACGGGUCCGUAGGCGGUUUGGUAAGUCAGUGGUGAAAGCCCAUCGCUUAACGAUGGAACGGCCAUUGAUACUGCCAGACUUGAAUUACUAGGAAGUAACUAGAAUAUGUAGUGUAGCGGUGAAAUGCUUAGAUAUUACAUGGAAUACCAAUUGCGAAGGCAGGUUACUACUAGUUUAUUGACGCUGAUGGACGAAAGCGUGGGGAGCGAACAGGAUUAGAUACCCUGGUAGUCCACGCCGUAAACGAUGGAUACUAGCUGUUCGGGGUAACCGUGAGUGGCUAAGCGAAAGUGAUAAGUAUCCGACCUGGGGAGUACGUUCGCGAAGAAGAGAAGUUACAAAGAAGUUAGUUAGCGNGAGAGAGCGACGACGACGACGACGGAGGAGGAGG
rnacentral:rRNA from 1 species